GGGAGCUCUGAAUGUUCAUGCUGCGGGAAGCAUCACGAGGUCCACGCUGCCAGGACAGGUCCUGCUGCCCUUCCCUCGUCCAUGAUCCCCUGGGAAGGCACUUGGAGUUGACCUUGGAAAAGCUAUUCAGCCAAAGAAGCCUGUGCCUGUGAGCAGACAGCAAGGAGAACUCGGGGUGCCCGCUCCGCCCCCUGAGGGUGGUUCCAGGGCUCUGGGGCGGGGUGGGGGUUGCAUGUCCCUGGGCGAUGAGGAUGGGGCCUCCUCGAUUCUGACGAGCCGCCAUCCCCCUCGAGCCUGCCCUGCCCAGCCCUUGGCGUCCGAGUCCUCCCUGCAUGUGUCCUCCUCACCGAGCACACUGGCUGCGGGGAGAGCAGCCCAGACGCCCCCCACCCCCCGUCCAGCUUCCCCCGCUUCCGGCCUCCUGCUCCCCUCAUUCUUCUGGGGCCUCUGCACGAAGUUCGCAUGUACCCUUGGGAUUUGGGAAGCAAGAGCGGUCCUUAGACACCGUCAUAGUUUGCGUCUAAGCAUACAUUUAGAAAUGCCUGAGCACUUCCUACACGCCUUUGUGAUUGCUGUGGAUUUGGUAUUUGAUCUCAGCUACCUCAUUAAAGCGUUUUUGAAAAGGUGUUUUUCAUUGUUCCAAGUGCCUCUGCCUCACAGUUGAAACAUUCCAUCGCAGUUGCUUUUGAAGCCAAAGGGAAAAGGGUCAUGUUCACUGGGCUGCGGGAGCGCUUUCCGGUGGGUAAAUCUGACAUCAGGCCAAGCUGGCCAGCCCGGCAAGACGUGCAGUUUGCAGCUUGGGCUUUGCGCCUCGCUCCACGCCGCCCCUGCCGCUCGUGGGGAGCAGUCCCGUGGUCCAGCCCUUUGUACUGACUCGGACGGUUUAAGCACGCAGAGCUGCAAGAAUGAAAAAGCGUUCUUGGCCUCUCCCUAAAAAGAUGUUGCAACACAGUUUCUCCGAAUUCCACCACAAAAAGCCCCCUGAAUAAGAAGAGCAGCUUUCCCUGUGUGUGGAGGGUGGACACAGUGACGUUCUUUCUUCAUAGCCACCCCGGGGAUUCUGGAGCACUGGGCCUUUCUCAGAAGACCUCUUGCAUGUACCCGAACUUUCUGAAAUACUGCAAAGCCACAGAGUUGAGGCUGGUGCUGCCAAGAAGAAAAGCAACCAGAGUUCCUAUUAAGUGUCCAGAAGUGCUUUGUGAACUUGCCUGCUUUCGUUGAAACAAUACGUGUGCAAUUGUGUUGUUCUGUGUUGGGCCGUGUACUCCCUCCUUGGCAAGAGAACAGUCUCUACC
rnacentral:lncRNA from 1 species